UUUCCGUAGGUGAACCUGCGGAAGGAUCAUUAUUGAAUAACCGAGGUGCGAGGGCUGUCGCUGACCCGAAAGGUCGUGCACGCCCGAGUGCCCUCACACACAUCCAUCUCACCCCUAUGUGCACCACCGCGUGGGUCCCCCUUUGGCUUGUUCGGAGGGGGGCUUACGUUUUCACACAAACUUUGUAUGCAGUGUAGAAUGUAUUUUUUGUUUUUGCGAUCACGCAAUCAAUACAACUUUCAACAACGGAUCUCUUGGCUCUC
rnacentral:misc_RNA from 1 species